GCCUGGGUGGCUCAGUCGGUUAAGUGUCCGGCUUCAGCUCAGGUCAUGAUCUCAUGGUUUGUGGGUUCAAGCCCCACAUCAGGCU
rnacentral:tRNA from 1 species